AUGAACGCUAGCUACAGGCUUAACACAUGCAAGUCGAGGGGCAGCAUGACCUAGCAAUAGGUUGAUGGCGACCGGCGCACGGGUGAGUAACACGUAUCCAACCUACCGGUUAUUCCGGGAUAGCCUUUCGAAAGAAAGAUUAAUACCGGAUAGUAUAACGAGAAGGCAUCUUCUUGUUAUUAAAGAAUUUCGAUAACCGAUGGGGAUGCGUUCCAUUAGUUUGUUGGCGGGGUAACGGCCCACCAAGACAUCGAUGGAUAGGGGUUCUGAGAGGAAGGUCCCCCACAUUGGAACUGAGACACGGUCCAAACUCCUACGGGAGGCAGCAGUGAGGAAUAUUGGUCAAUGGACGAGAGUCUGAACCAGCCAAGUAGCGUGAAGGAUGACUGCCCUAUGGGUUGUAAACUUCUUUUAUAUGGGAAUAAAGUGAGCCACGUGUGGCUUUUUGUAUGUACCAUACGAAUAAGGAUCGGCUAACUCCGUGCCAGCAGCCGCGGUAAUACGGAGGAUCCGAGCGUUAUCCGGAUUUAUUGGGUUUAAAGGGAGCGUAGGCGGACUAUUAAGUCAGCUGUGAAAGUUUGCGGCUCAACCGUAAAAUUGCAGUUGAUACUGGUCGUCUUGAGUGCAGUAGAGGUAGGCGGAAUUCGUGGUGUAGCGGUGAAAUGCUUAGAUAUCACGAAGAACUCCGAUUGCGAAGGCAGCUUACUGGACUGUAACUGACGCUGAUGCUCGAAAGUGUGGGUAUCAAACAGGAUUAGAUACCCUGGUAGUCCACGCCGUAAACGAUGUCGACUUGGAGGUUGUGCCCUUGAGGCGUGGCUUCCGGAGCUAACGCGUUAAGUCGGCCGCCUGGGGAGUACGGCCGCAAGGUUAAAACUCAAAUGAAUUGACGGGGGCCCGCACAAGCGGAGGAACAUGUGGUUUAAUUCGAUGAUACGCGAGGAACCUUACCCGGGCUUAAAUUGCAAAUGAAUAUAGUGGAAACAUUAUAGCCGCAAGGCAUUUGUGAAGGUGCUGCAUGGUUGUCGUCAGCUCGUGCCGUGAGGUGUCGGCUUAAGUGCCAUAACGAGCGCAACCCUUAUCUUUAGUUACUAACAGGUCAUGCUGAGGACUCUAGAGAGACUGCCGUCGUAAGAUGUGAGGAAGGUGGGGAUGACGUCAAAUCAGCACGGCCCUUACGUCCGGGGCUACACACGUGUUACAAUGGGGGGUACAGAAGGCAGCUACACAGCGAUGUGAUGCUAAUCCCAAAAGCCUCUCUCAGUUCGGAUUGGAGUCUGCAACCCGACUCCAUGAAGCUGGAUUCGCUAGUAAUCGCGCAUCAGCCACGGCGCGGUGAAUACGUUCCCGGGCCUUGUACACACCGCCCGUCAAGCCAUGAAAGCCGGGGGUACCUGAAGUCCGUAACCGUAAGGAGCGGCCUAGGGUAAAACUGGUAAUUGGGGCU
rnacentral:rRNA from 1 species